rnacentral:rRNA from 1 species
GUCGAUAGUGACAGCAUGUUAAAUGCACCAGUUCCCAAGGGAACACUGACGUUAAACAACGUUGCGUGUGGUUGGUAUCAGGAUGGGUGACCAUCUAGGCCAAAAGGCAUAGAAGAUAGAAG